ensembl:lncRNA
CUUGCUAACUCUUGUAAAAUUCAGCUUUCUUUACAAUGCAGGUUUUCAGAUCCUGUGUGCCAGCUUCCAUAUCAAUUGCGUGACUUCACAUGGGCUUUGGGUCAAGCCUCAGGUGACAAAAUGAAUUUACUUUUUAUGAAUACAUUUUUUUUCAUAUCGUUAUCUGGCCCCCGGUACUGGAGUAUUCCUUACUUUGGAGAUCAGAUUAAUAGUAUAUACUCGUAGGAACUCAUUUUGUAUCUUGAAGCCUUUAGGUUACACAUCCCAUUGCAGGCUAAAGAAUUAUCUGAUUACAAUUUCAAGUCUUCUACUGCAGUUGACCUUCUAAUUUGCUUUAAACACUUUUAUUUCAGAACUCAUGGAAAAAUACCUUGCAUAUCACUGAAUAUAAAUAACAGAGGUUAAGAGCCAUCUAGAAAAAAAGCUCAAAUGUGGUUUGAUCCAAUCUGCAAUGCUGCAGACUGGGAGAUGGCCUGUGAAGUUUUGUACUGACAGACCUAGAUAAAAUUUUAGAAGAGAAAAAUCUGAGCAACUGCAGCUGUCUGGCAUUCCCCAUUAUCCAGUUUCCAUGGAUACAAGCAUUAGAAAUUUUGAAGUGAGUAUUAUUUUUAAAAUCACCCUCUCUCCCAAAAGUCCUGGUGACAGAAGAUGUGUUAGAAAUCUUGAACCUCUUGGGUUGAAAGCCCAGCUACAUUUGCAACGUUGGUAAAAUGAAGGUUAUGAAAGAGGAUAAAUAUAGCCAACAUUUUCCCUUUUGUUUUAGGUCAGAAAGACUAAGAAAAGGAGAAAAAUCGUAAUACUUACAGGAAAAUUGGUUUCAAGUUACAUAGAUUAUCUUGCAACCACAAAAAGAAAACCAAAAAAAAAAAAAAAUCCACAAAAGAACAAAGCUAGCCUUCUGUCUGGGAAAAACAAACACACCAAUGAAGCAAAACCACAACAGAGAAAGCAAAUGGGCUUUUUGGACAGCUGUAUAUGGUACGUCUUGGCCCAUUUCUGGUGACCCCAGAAUACAAUACUCUAAGACAAAUUCUGAAUAAAACUAGAUCAUUUUAUUAAACAAACAAUAUUGGAUAGGAAAACAAAAACAAGAUUCAAACCAAUCAAAUGAAACACAAAGUAAGACAGUGUGCUGCCAAUGCAUAAGGAAGAAAUCUUUAUAAUUCAUAUGCCUACA